rnacentral:rRNA from 1 species
ACGGGGUGUUAGGGCACGACACCGGAGAGGGAGCCUGAGAAACGGCUACCACAUCCAAGGAUGGCAGCAGGCGCGCAAACUACCCAAUCCCGACACGGGGAGGUAGUGACAAUAAAUAACAAUACGGGGUUCUUUAGGAUCUCGUAAUUGGAAUGAGUACAAUUUAAAUCUCUUAACGAGGAACAAUUGGAGGGCAAGUCUGGUGCCAGCAGCCGCGGUAAUUCCAGCUCCAAUAGCGUAUAUUAAAGUUGUUGCAGUUAAAAAGCUCGUAGUUGAAUUUCGGGGUUAGUAGGUUGGUCAUGCCUCUGGUAUGUACUGGUCUCACUGAUUCCUCCUUCCUGAUGAGCCGUAAUGCCAUUAAUUUGGUGUUGCGGGGAAUUUGGACUGUUACUUUGAAAAAAUUAGAGUGUUUAAAGCAAGCUAACGCUUGAAUACAUUAGCAUGGAAUAAUGAAAUAGGACGUUCGAUCCUAUUUUGUUGGUUUCUAGGAUUGACGUAAUGAUUAAUAGGGAUAGUUGGGGGCAUUAGUAUUCAAUUGUCAGAGGUGAAAUUCUUGGAUUUAUUGAAGACUAACUACUGCGAAAGCAUUUGCCAAGGAUGUUUUCAUUAAUCAAGAACGAAAGUUAGGGGAUCGAAGACGAUCAGAUACCGUCGUAGUCUUAACCAUAAACUAUGCCGACUAGGGAUCGGAUGAUGUUAAUUUUUUAAUGACUCAUUCSGCGCCUUACGGGAACA